CUAAAUUGUGCACUAGCAUGAUUAUCAG
rnacentral:tRNA from 1 species